AGUGUCACCUGGCAGUUUGUUGCUCUCUGCCAGGUGAUUGGCUGAAGAACUGUGAAAAGGUAGUGGGUGUGUGGGGUGAAGUCAGCGCUCUUCUGUGGAAAAAACCAGAGGCAAUUAAUUCACUCGGGUGCGAGUGGGUAUACAGUCGAUCGCAGGCCAUGCAUAGCGCUGUUUCCCAGCUCCGCUGAGACCCGAAUUGUUUGCAGUGCGUGCCACGAUUGCAGUGUCGCUAAGCGGGGUGUGACGGGUUGCAGUGUUGUUAUUUUCGCACGUUUGUGUGGAGCUGCCCUCAGAUUCAGACCUCAGCACCACCCAGUGAGAGCAGACAGAUCAUCCAACA